GCAGCCGCGGGCGCACGCCGUGCUCGCUGGGGGAAGAGGGCUGGGAGCGGGAGAUGACGGUGAUUUCCUCGCUGUCCGGCCGUCUGCGAGCACCGGCUUCCUUCCAGGCGCUGCCCCGGCGCUGGAGGCGUGCCAGAGAUCUGACUGGAGUUGGAGGGUGAGAGAGAAUGGCUUCUUAUUUACCUGCAGAGAACUCAACCACUGCAGUCAGCAUGAAUGGGAAUCUGUCAACAGCAGUCAUACAUGGGUUCAAUUCCACUCAUGACUCGCCUUCCAUGUCAAUAACAAGGCUUUUCCCAGCCUUACUAGAGUGCUUUGGCAUAGUUCUUUGUGGCUACAUAGCAGGAAGGGCCAAUGUCAUAACGUCAACACAGGCCAAAGGACUGGGAAAUUUUGUCUCCAGAUUUGCACUUCCAGCUUUAUUAUUCAAAAACAUGGUUGUACUUAAUUUUUCCAAUGUGGAUUGGGCUUUCCUCUAUAGUAUCUUAAUUGGCAAAGCCUCAGUAUUUUUAAUUGUCUGCGUAUUAACCUUAUUGGUUGCCAGUCCUGACAGUCGAUUCAGCAAAGCUGGACUAUUCCCUAUUUUUGCCACACAAAGUAAUGACUUCGCCUUGGGAUAUCCUAUCGUUGAAGCUUUGUACCAAACUACAUACCCAGAAUAUCUCCAGUACAUUUAUUUGGUGGCACCAAUAUCUCUUAUGAUGUUGAACCCUAUAGGGUUUAUCCUUUGUGAAAUCCAGAAGUCAAAAGAUGCUCAAAAUCCUUCUCAAAACAAAGUGAAAAUUGUGGGACUUGGAUUUCUUCGUGUAUUACAGAACCCAAUAGUAUUCAUGGUCUUCAUUGGCAUAGCCUUCAACUUUAUUCUUGAUAAAAAGAUCCCUGUAUAUAUGGAAAAUUUUCUUGAUGGACUUGCAAAUUCCUUUUCGGGAUCAGCCCUAUUCUAUCUUGGCCUUACCAUGGUGGGAAAAAUAAAGAGGCUGAAGAAGUCUGCAUUCGUUGUCCUCAUUCUUCUCAUCACGGCUAAACUCCUGGUGCUGCCACUUCUGUGCAGAGAAAUGGUGGAACUCUUGGACAAGGGGGACAGUAUAGUGAACCACACAAGUUUAUCAAAUUAUGCAUUUCUAUAUGGUGUCUUUCCUGUAGCACCAGGAGUGGCUAUCUUUGCAACACAGUUCAACAUGGAAGUAGAGAUUAUAACCUCAGGGAUGGUAAUAAGCACAUUUGUGUCUGCUCCAAUCAUGUAUGUUUCUGCCUGGUUACUGACCUUUCCUACCAUGGAUACUAAGCCAUUAGCAUAUGCUAUCCAGAAUGUUAGUUUUGACAUCAGUAUUAUCAGCCUGGUCUCCUUGAUCUGGUCUCUGGGUAUUCUUCUCUUGAGUAAGAAAUACAAGCAGCUUCCCCAUAUGCUUACAACGAAUUUGCUCGUUGCUCAGUCUAUUGUCUGUGCCGGAAUGAUGAUAUGGAAUUUUGUUAAAGAAAAAAAUUUUGUUGGACAAAUUCUGGUGUUUGUUUUAUUGUACAGCUCCUUGUAUAGCACCUACCUUUGGACAGGCCUUCUAGCAAUUUCUUUGUUUCUUUUGAAAAAACGAGAGAGUAUACAGAUUCCUGUUGGCAUUAUCAUAAUAUGUGGCUGGGGAAUUCCUGCUCUCCUUGUUGGUGUUCUUUUGAUCACUGGAAAACACAAUGGAGAUAGCAUUGACUCAGCCUUCUUUUAUGGAAAAGAGCAGAUGAUCACCACAGCAGUCACCCUGUUCUGCAGCAUUGUGAUAGCUGGCGUGUCCCUCAUGUGCAUGAACCGCACCACCCAAGCAGGACACUAUGAAGGCUUUGGCCAGGCUCAGAACCACAAACCCGGAGAAGCUGGAAGCACUCCUUUUGAGGAGAAUCUGGCACCAGCAAUCGAACCGGAACUGUUCACAAGUUCUAUCCCAGAGACAAGUUGCUGCUCUUGCUCCCUGGGAAAUGGUGACUUACGCUGUCCAUCAACAGAGCCAGUAGCAAACACAAGUACUAGUGUGUCUGUAACUCCUUCCUUCGAGAAAAAUGAUCACUGCGUGAGUCGCUGUAACUCGCAGAGCUGCGUGUUAGCCCAGGAAGAGCAGCAGUAUUUGCAAAGUGGAGACCAGCAACUGACUAGACACGUCUUGCUGUGUUUACUUCUCAUUAUUGGCCUGUUUGCAAAUCUCUCCAGCUGUUUAUGGUGGCUGUUCAACCAUGAGACUGGAAGGCUGUAUGUCGAGUUACAGUUUUUCUGUGCUGUGUUUAACUUUGGCCAGGGAUUUAUUUCCUUCGGAAUCUUUGGAUUGGACAAACAUCUAAUCAUCCUACCUUUCAAAAGAAGGCUUGAGUUCCUUUGGAACAAUAAAGAAACAGGAGAAAACAGAGAUUCUCCUGUUUCUGAAGAAAUAAAAAUGACCUGUCAGCAGUUUGUCCAUUAUCACCGAGACCUCUGUAUCCGGAACAUCGUCAAGGAAAGAAGGUGUGGUGCAAAGACUUCUGCUGGGACCUUCUGUGGCUGUGACCUGGUGAGCUGGCUGAUUGAAGUUGGCCUCGCGUCUGACCGUGGAGAAGCUGUGAUAUACGGAGACAGACUGGUACAAGGAGGAGUCAUCCAACACAUUACCAAUGAAUAUGAAUUUCGGGAUGAGUACUUGUUUUACAGAUUUCUUCUCAAGAGUCCUGAACAGAGUCCCCUUGCUACUAACACAAGCACUCCACAACAGGAAAGCUAUAAAGAAAUUGAUCCUUCAUCCUCUCCCUCACUUUCUCCCAAGAUAUAAAUUGUCAAGUAGAAAACUCCCAUGGAAUCAUACUCUAAUCUCACAGGUACUACUUUUAGCUAUGUGUCCUUGGGCAAGUUACCUUGCUGACCCUCAGCUAUGUCUUCUGUAAAAUCAGACAAGAUGCAUUCCUAUCUGGUGCUCCUAUUGAGUGACGUUAGUAUAUGUAAAGAACAUAGGAAACUGACUUGAAAAAGAAAAAACAACAAAUCAAAAGAUAAAGUUGCAAUGAUGACUAGGAUAUUUACUACAAGUGAUACUAUUAUAUUAAUAUUUUUAAAUCGUUUUUUUUUCUGCAACUACUUGUGAUAACCUCAUAAUCAGUACCCAUUGACUGUUCCUUUAAAAAGGUUUUUGUUGCUGGGUGUGGUGGCACACGCCUUUAAUCCUAGUACUCAGAGGCAGAGGUAGGAUCACUGUGAGUUCAAGGCCACCCUGAACUACAUAGUGAAUUCCAGGUCAGCCUGGGCUAGAGUGAGACCCUACCUCAAAAAAAAGAAAAGAACAAAAAAGCAUCUUUGUUCUUUGUGACAACUUUAUGCUUACUUGAUAGCACUUCCCCAAGUAACAAAAAAAAAUAAUCCUGUAAAAGGUUAUUUUGUUGUGUUUUCCCUGUUCUUUGACAAAUACUGCUCAUUUACAAACUAAAUGUACCAUUUUUGUUUAUCUUUAUUUGUUGAAACAGGGUCAGCCUGGGCUAGAGCAAGACCCUACCUUGAGGGAAAAAAAAAAAAUUCUAAACCUGGGCUGAGAAGAUGGCUCAACCAUUAAAGGCACUUUCUGCAAAGCCUUAUAGCUGGCUUUCAGUUCCUAAGUCAUUCACAUAAGAAAUGAUGGUACAAGCAUCUGAUGUUCCUUUGUAGCAACAAAAGGCCUUGUCACACACAUGCAUACAUACACAUAUACAUACAAAUAAAUGUUUAAAAAAUUCCAAACCUAGCAUCCUACCACUAUCUUCACAGUUCUUUUUUAUAUGUCCUAUAUAAAAAUUUGUAAGUUAAAAACUUACUAAAUGACACUCAUAGUCUAAGACUGUUAAAACACCAUGCAUGAACUGGGUAGUAUAUAAACAACAGAAACUUAUUCUUACAGGUCUAGAGGCUGGGUAAUCCAAGGUCAGGGCAGUAGCAGAUUGACAUCUGCCGAGGGCCUUAUCACAGGCUCACAAAUGGUACCACACAUCAGAAGUGAAGAAUGCUGGACUAUUUAGAUUAGAGGACUUGAAUCCUGUUCAUGGUGAUUCUACUCUCUUGAGCUAAUCAUCUCCUAAUGCCAUUACAUACAAAUUUUGAAUAGACACAAGCGUUCAGACCUUUAAAACUCUCAGAUAAGCUUUAUUUUCAGAAAGCUGAAAAGAUCUUUGAGGAGAAUUUACUUAUUAGGUAUCAGUACUGAUUUAACUUAUUUAGAAAAAGUUCAAAUAUUUAUGUGAAGGUUAUUUAUGACAUAAGUGCCCUUACCCUUUUAAAUAUAUUUUAUUUAUUUGAGAGAAAGAAAGAAGUGUGGGGGGCUGGGGAAUGGACGUGCCAGGGCCUCUAGCCACCGCAAAUGAACUCCAGAUGCAUGCGCCCC